rnacentral:tRNA from 2 species
AGUUAUUUAGCUUAUAUUUAAUUUUAAAGCAAAUAUUUUGAAAAUAUUAGAAAGAGAAAUUUAAUAACUU